rnacentral:rRNA from 1 species
GACGAACGCUGGCGGCGUGCUUAACACAUGCAAGUCGAACGGUGAAGCGCCUUCCUUUUUGGUGGGUGUGGAUGAGUGGCGAACGGGUGAGUAACACGUGAGUAACCUGCCCCCUUCUUCUGGAUAACCGCAUGAAAGUGUGGCUAAUACGGGAUAUUCUGGGUCUGUCGCAUGAUGGGUCUGGGAAAGAUAUUGUUUCGGUGGGGGAUGGGCUCGCGGCCUAUCAGCUUGUUGGCGGGGUGAUGGCCUACCAAGGCGGUGACGGGUAGCCGGCCUGGGAGGGUGGACGGGCAGACUGGGACGGAGACACGGCCCAGACUGCUACGGGAGGCAGCAGUGGGGAAUAUUGCACAAUGGGCGCAAGCCUGAUGCAGCGACGCCGCGUGAGGGAUGGAGGCCUUCGGGUUGUGAACCUCUUUCGCCAGUGAAGCAGGCCUGCCUCGUUUGUGGGUGGGUUGACGGUAGCUGGAGAAGAAGCGCCGGCUAACUACGUG